GGACUGGCAGCAGAUGUUAGCUCAGGGCUAAUCUUCCUCAAAAAAAAAAAAAAAAGAAAGAAAUCAGAUGGAAACCAGAGGCCAUAGUGUCAGAGGCCUAGUUGAGGAUGAUCAGGAAAACCUCCCCACAUGAAUGCUGAGGUUUCUUAAGCAUAGGAAAGUUUUUUGUUUGUUUGUUUGAAGGCUUUCUGGUAGUGUCAUAAAAUGUAAAGGAUAUUGCCCGGCAGCUCAUACAGUAUCUGAGUCUAUAUCCAGCUCUGUCAUGACUUCCUGGGUGCAACCUGCCAUGCCUCUUGACCUUUCUGAGUCUCAGUUUCUUCAAUGAAGGACAGGUGUCUCCUAGGUUUUUCUUCUAGCUCUGAAAGCUGUCCACCUGGGAUUCACUGUAUAGGGUAUUCUUUAAUGAACAACAACGAAAAAGGCUUAUGAAAUGUGAAUUGAUAAUUCAGAGAUGAUUAUUCACCUUGUGGAUGGCUUGUCCUAUUUAUAGCAGCAUUUGCUGGUGGGAAUAGUCCUAUUCAGAAAAUUGGCUGUUGUUUGGAGAAAGAAGUAAUGGAAUUGGGAUCAGAAGAGCUGCUCUGAAAACCAGGCUCUACUCAUUUAUUAGUUCUGUGACUUUAAUGCUUUAAGUCUCAGUUUAAAAACUGUCUCAUUUUCAAAUUAAAAUAUUAAUAAAACUGCAUGGCUAUUGUAUAGAUCAUUUUGAGGGCUGGAAGGUGUUAUAUAAAUUUUUCUUGCUCAAAGAAGACUGGUCAUCCUAACCUAACACAUACACACUCAAUUCUUUUAGUGUUGGAGACUGGUUCCAGGGAAUGAACCAGUGGGAUCAGCACCAUAGGGACCCACUAUUGAGUAGCCCUUAGGGACAAAGGGCAGUCAUGCAUCAUUGAAAAUUGCUCUUCCCUACUCUUCAGAUCCCUGAAGUCAGGCCAUGCCUUCAGGCAUAGCUUUUUCCUCCAACCAUGGUUACUGCAAUUGUUGAUCCAGCCUCCUGAGCUGCCUUAACCCUGAGAGGACUCCCACCAAUUCCCAUUUGCCUGCUGAUCUCUGCCCACUCUUUCACCACCAUUAACAUGACAAUGCCUCAAGCCAUGUAGAAUUUGCAUUUUAAAGUCUUCUGGUUUUUGUCUAGUUCCCGGUAUGGCACUGGCAUACUUUUGUUAGCCAUUAUAGUCCAGAGCUAUUUUCCAGAGUCAAAAAUUAAUGGAGAAAAAGAGGUGACAGCAGUAAAUAGUCCACUCUGCUGAGCACACUCAUCUCUGAAUGGAACUGAGAAUGCUCAGUGUCCAAGAGGUUUUGCAAUAUGGUAUACUAACACUAAAUGAAUGAAAGUUCCGAGGACAGGCCAGGACCCUUGCUCUCAUUUGCCAAGAGGGUACAUAGCACUCAGUGUGAAGGAAGAUGAUGUGUAUGUAUAUACAUAUUUGGGGAGGGAGGCUUUUAAUGGAGGUAUUUCUGUUCCUUUUAAGGCACUGAUCUACAAAAUGUAGACGAAAGCUGGUCUAGAGGUCACUUAGAUUACAAAUCUCCCACAUCCAUUGAAGUUACAAUUUAUGGUCCCAAUUAGCAGUGGUGCCUUUGGGGUUCACGGCUAUCAUAUUCUUUUAGAGUUAGGCAGCAUCUCUUGAUACACUUGCACAGUGACUGACAUAGAUAACUCUCAGUAGAUGUUGAAUGAUUACUACCCUUUAUUUUGUUCUAGGCAUUGUGAUAAAUGCUUUAUGUCAUCAUCUCUAACCUGCAUGAAAUAAAAUUUAUCUUCACUACAGGUGAGGGAUGUGAGGCUCAGAGAGGCAAUGCCCCUUGUUCAGUGUCACAUAGCUAGUAUGUAGCAGAGCUUGAAUAGGCAUUCAGGUCUGUCUGCUUCCAAAGCUUGGGCUCCUAAGCACUACUUAGGCGUGUCUGCCAACAUAUGGACAAGUGCGGGAAUCCUUAGACAUCAGGGAGGUAAGAGAACAGAGGACGAGAAAGAGGGUCCCAUCUCUUACUUCCCUUGUUUCUGAUUCACUGCAGUAUAUUUGUACUAGAUGUUCUAAUACUUUCCAAGUUACCCUCUUAGGUUUUUUGUUUGUUUGUUUUACCUUCAGGUAAAAGCUGGUUAACUAUCCAGAAUGAAUAGGAACUUCAAGAAUACCUCCGUUAGUGCUGAGAGAGUUCUGUAGCUGGAAUCUGUCUCCCUGUGUUUCCAAUCCACUGGACCCAAGCCCUCUCUGUGGACUCUGAACAAACAGGUAUCUUUUCUAGGCCAGAAUUUCCAAUGUUUGCAGUGCAGCCCAGCCGACCUUCCCUGGGUCUUCCCUCUGGAGGAUCUAGUUCUCUCAAUGGCUCGCCCUCUGCCCUGGCUCCUGCUCUCUCGCUGUGUUGUCCCUUGCCCCUGGUUCUCCUCCAUGUUAUCUACGUACCUCUUGAAGGGGAGGACCUAGAACUUAACAUAUUAUUGCUAAUGAUUAAAAAUUCAUUUAUUAAGCAACUGUAUUUUGAUAAAUGUUAUACUAAUACU